rnacentral:rRNA from 1 species
ACGUAGGGUGCGAGCGUUAAUCGGAAUUACUGGGCGUAAAGCGUGCGCAGGCGGUUCGCUAAGACAGGUGUGAAAUCCCCCGGCUUAACCUGGGAAUGGCGAUUGUGACUGGCGGGCUGGAGUGCGGAAGAGGGGGGUGGAAUUCCACGUGUAGCGGUGAAAUGCGUAGAGAUGUGGAGGAACACCGGUGGCGAAGGCAGCUCCUUGGGCCGAAACUGACGCUGAUGCACGAAAGCGUGGGGAGCAAACAG